rnacentral:rRNA from 1 species
GAUGAACGCUGGCGGCGUGCCUAAUACAUGCAAGUCGAGCGAACAGACGAGGAGCUUGCUCCUCUGACGUUGGCGGCGGACGGGUGAGUAACACGUGGAUAACCUACCUAUAAGACUGGGAUAACUUCGGGAAACCGGAGCUAAUACCGGAUAAUAUAUUGAACCGCAUGGUUCAUUAGUGAAAGACGGUUUUGCUGUCACUUAUAGAUGGAUCCGCGCCGCAUUAGCUAGUUGGUACGGUAACGGCUUACCAAGGCAACGAUGCGUAGCCGACCUGAGAGGGUGAUCGGCCACACUGGAACUGAGACACGGUCCAGACUCCUACGGGAGGCAGCAGUAGGGAAUCUUCCGCAAUGGGCGAAAGCCUGACGGAGCAACGCCGCGUGAGUGAUGAAGGUCUUCGGAUCGUAAAACUCUGUUAUUAGGGAAGAACAAAUGUGUAAGUAACUAUGCACGUCUUGACGGUACCUAAUCAGAAAGCCACGGCUAACUACGUG